rnacentral:rRNA from 1 species
CCUGGGGGAGUACGGCCCGCAAGGGUUUAAAAACUCAAAAUUGAAAUUGACGGGGGCCCGCACAAAGCGGGUGGGAGCAUUGUGGGUUUAAAUUUCGAUGCAACGCGAAGAAACCUUACCUACUCUUGACAUCCCAGAGAAACUUAGCAGAGAUGCUUUUGGUGGCCUUCGGGAAACUCUGAGAACAGGUGCUGCAUGGCUGUCGUCAGCUCGUGUUUGUGAAAUGUUGGGUUAAGUCCCGCAACGAGCGCAACCCUUAUCCUUUGUUGCCAGCGGUCCGGCCGGGAACUCAAAGGAGACUGCCAGUGAUAAACUGGAGGAAGGUGGGGAUGACGUCAAGUCAUCAUGGCCCUUACGAGUAGGGCUACACACGUGCUACAAUGGCAUAUACAAAGAGAAGCGACCUCGCGAGAGCAAGCGGACCUCAUAAAGUAUGUCGUAGUCCGGAUUGGAGUCUGCAACUCGACUCCAUGAAGUCGGAAUCGCUAGUAAUCGUAGAUCAGAAUGCUACGGUGAAUACGUUCCCGGGCCUUGUACACACCGCCCGUCACACCAUGGGAGUGGGUGCAAAAGAAGUAGGUAGCUUAACCUUCGGGAGGGCG